UAACCCCUCCAAGAUCGGGGCAGAAGAACUCUGUGGGACCUGAGUAGGCCCCAUAUCUCUAGCAUGCUCAGCCUAAGGCUCAAGAAAAAUCCCCCUAAUACUACCUAUGGAAGGGAAAGAUCUUUGUGGCUUUCCACAACUCACAAAUCUCCCUCUAGACUGAUCUCUCUCCUCAGAUGAUGGUUUAACAUCUCUAACCUCAUGGAAUCUAGUCC
rnacentral:lncRNA from 1 species